rnacentral:rRNA from 1 species
CUGACCGAGCAACGCCGUGUGAGUGAAGAAGGUUUUCGGAUCGUAAAGCUCUGUUGUAAGUCAAGAACGUGUGUGAGAGUGGAAAGUUCACACAGUGACGGUAGCUUACCAGAAAGGGACGGCUAACUACGUGCCAGCAGCCGCGGUAAUACGUAGGUCCCGAGCGUUGUCCGGAUUUAUUGGGCGUAAAGGGAGCGCAGGCGGUCAGGAAAGUCUGGAGUAAAAGGCUAUGGCUCAACCAUAGUGUGCUCUGGAAACUGUCUGACUUGAGUGCAGAAGGGGAGAGUGGAAUUCCAUGUGUAGCGGUGAAAUGCGUAGAUAUAUGGAGGAACACCAGUGGCGAAAGCGGCUCUCUGGUCUGUCACUGGCGCCGAGGCUCGAAAGCGUGGGUAGCGAACAGGAUUAGAUACCCUGGUAGUCCACGCCGUAAACGAUGAGUGCUAGGUGUUAGGCCCUUUCCGGGGCUUAGUGCCGGAGCUAACGCAAUAAGCACUCCGCCUGGGGAGUACGACCGCAAGGUUGAAACUCAAAGGAAUUGACGGGGGCCCGCACAAGCGGUGUAGCAUGUGGUUUAAUUCGAAGCCACGCGAAGAACCUUACCAGGUCUUGACACC